UCCAGCGGCCAGCCCAAUCAGCGUCCAGCGACAGCAAUUUAUCCAGUCGCCAUGAUUUAUUAAAAUUGCAUUUCUACACCAUACGUCGCUUAAAUUUGCUUACUUGUUAAUGGUACUUCGGCUAAGUGUCGCGUCAAUUCCAAAGGUGUUUAUACUAAUAUGCACCUGCUGUAUAGAAUUCAUCAGCAACUACAGUACUAUAUGGAUGUGCUACAUAAUGUACCAUACAUAAUGUACCAUGUAAUGCAAAUUACUCUGAAUGGCCUUUGCUGCCCCAGUGCUUGGUGUUACACAUAAACUUUAUAAAACCAACCAACCAACAACGUAAUGUAAAUCUCCAUUUCCCACAACCUUUCCGACAGUCAUCUUUCAAAAUCACUGAAAUAAGGUAAGACAAAUACUGAAAUUGGCUGUGCCCUUGGACUUAGACAGAACUAAUUUUCAGUCUAUAGUCAAGGAUAAAGAAUGUCUUUUGCAACACAUGAAAUGUGGUGCUUCGAUGAAGGCUUUUACUACUCAUGGUGCUGCUGCUACUACUUGAAUAGGCAAGCAACAUAACCCCAAUUUUAUGGAGAUGGAGAAGUUUAUGGUUUUCUGGCGUGAAGAUAAAAACCAUUGAAAUAUUCCAGUGAGCCUUGGUUUGAUUAAGAAAAUAAUGACCUUGGUCACCUUACCAAUUUGAGUAAUGUUUAUCUCAAAAGGGAGGGAGCCUACCUUCCAUCAAAGACUAAUUCUAUUACAACUGAUACACCAGUGAGUCAUUGCUAGCUUCAAGGCUUACUACACCAGGAGGACAUUUCGUCAUGUCCUCAGGGUCAUAAAAAAUAGCAGUGCCAAGUUGGAUGUCCAGCAAGUCUGGAAGGGUUACAGUAUUUUAGAUCCUGCCAAGAACAUUGAGGCUGUUUGGAAUGAGGUCAAGAAUUCCAAUUUGAAUGGGAUGUGGAAGAGUCGGUGUCCAUAUUUUGUGAAGGACUUUACAGGCUUUGAGAGGAGUGUGUCUUGAUGCUGUAAGAAGGAACAUUGUUCAGUAUAACAUGAAGCUCAAUUUGGAGGUGGAAGCUGAGGAUGUGAACGAGCUGCUGGAAUUCUGGACAGUUGUUGUCAGCAGAGGACCUCAUUGAGCUGGAGAAGUAUAUAAUCAAGGAGGAAGAGGCACCAGACUCAAAGGCCAGGGCAUUAAAUGCAAAGAGCUUGUCACAAGCUUUGUCCCACUUUGAACAAGGGCUGGUAAUGAUCAACGAAUAGAACCCUAUUGUGGAAAGCUUCACAUAGUUUCAAAGAGUAAUUAAAGAUGCUGUAACUUUUACCAGAAGACAGUAAGGGAGAAUAAGAUGAAAAGAACCAUCCAAGCAAAACUAGAGGUUUUCAGCUUUAAGAGAGUGACUCCAGUACCACCUGCCACUCAACCCAGACUAAUAUGCUCCUACUGUACAGAAUUCAUCCACAACUACAGUAAUAUACAGAUGUGUUACAUACUGUACCAUGUAAUGCACAUCUCCAUCUCCCACAACCUCUGAUGGUACAUCUUUCAAAAUCACAGAAAUUAAUUCAGGAACUCUUCCAUUUUAAUGUUAUACAUAUUACUAUUAGCAUAGUACAGUAUAUUGUUUAUAAAAUACUUUCCUUUGCAUACCAUGUAAUACAGUGCUUCACUGACUUAUGGCACCACCAAUCUUAAGAUGCCUUUUCAGCACCGUUAACAGCGUUGUACAUUGCUUUAACUUGGUGUUGCAUAAAGUUAUGGAGCCGUAAACGCCAUUAAGCAUCAACUUAAAAGCACUUACAGUUCUGUAAAUUAAUGAUACAUCAAGUUACAGCGCCAUAAUUUGCUGUUAAUGUUAAAAAACCGACUUAGGCCAGAAAUCAACUUGAUGCGCAGUGCUGGAAUGGAUCCCUGCCGUAUUUAAGAGGAGGCACUAUACAUAUAGUAUGUGCAGUGUACUAUACAAAGUAAAAACAUGUGAAUACUGUUUUGUUUCUUGUUUUUUAAAUUGUUGUGCUGCAUAUCCCCUGGUAAAAAGUUGGUGCAGCCAUUUUUCAGGAGAUUCUGGAUUGUUAAAAAUUUACUAUGUAUUAGUACACAGUAGUUAUCAUGACGCCACCAGGAAUAGAACCCCCACCGAUAACCGGGGACUCCCUGUACAUGCCUACACUCCAUGUUACUGUAUAGUAGUGUAAGUACUGUAAUCCACCUGUUCUAUGUAGUAUGUACAGCGAACUCCCUGUAUUCGCAUUCUCCAGAUUCGCGAACUCGCACAUUUGCUGAUUUCUCUUUGGAACUUAAAUAAAAAUUAUUCUUGGGUGGCCUCGCUUAUUCGCAGGUUUUUCUGUCAAUAAAUGUAAACUAAUUAGUGUAUUUUGAUAUUUUCAUGACUAAAUACAUUUUUUUUAUUAAAAAAUGAUUUACUAAUUUUGAAAUAUUGAUAUUGAUUAAUACUGUAUUAGGUUUAAUACAGGCAGGCCCCAGUUAUUGACAGGUUCCAUUCCUGGGAGCCUGACGCUAACUGAAAUUCAAAAGUGUACGUGCUCCACAAUCCAACUUACGGUGUCCUAGUCUUGUUAAUGAUGCCUUAGACAGUGUUACGGUCAGAUA